rnacentral:misc_RNA from 1 species
UUUCCGUAGGUGAACCUGCGGAAGGAUCAUUAUUGUAUAACCGAGGUGCGAGGGCUGUCGCUGACCCGAAAGAUCGUGCACGCCCGAGUGCCCUCACACACAUUCAUCUCACCCCUAUGUGCACCACCGCGUGGGUCCCCCUUUGGCUUGUUCGGAGGGGGGCUUACGUUUUCACACAAACUUUGUAUGCAGUGUAGAAUGUAUUUUUUGUUUUUGCGAUCACGCAAUCAAUACAACUUUCAACAACGGAUCUCUUGGCUCUC